rnacentral:rRNA from 1 species
CCUACGGGAGGCAGCAGUGGGGAAUAUUGGGCAAUGGGCGCAAGCCUGACCCAGCAACGCCGCGUGAAGGAAGAAGGCUUUCGGGUUGUAAACUUCUUUUCUCAGGGACGAAACAAGUGACGGUACCUGAGGACUAAGCCACGCCUAACUACGUGCCAGCAGCCGCGGUAAUACGGAGGUGGCAAGCGUUAUCCGGAUUUACUGGGUGUAAAGGGCGUGUAGGCGGGACUGCAAGUCAGAUGUGAAAACCACGGGCUCAAACCGUGGCCUGCAUUUGAAACUGUAGUUCUUGAGUACUGGAGAGGCAGACGGAAUGCGUAGUGUAGCGGUGAAAUGCGUAGAUAUUAGGAGGAACACCAGUGGCGAAGGCGGUAUGCUGGACAGCAACUGACGCUGAGGCGCGAAAGCGUGGGGAGCAAACAGGAUUAGAUACCCGUGUAGUC